GGGCUUUUUCCAAAUACCCCGGUAUACCGCCCAAGCCUAUUGAAAAGCACUCUAAAUCCAAUGUUAUGGUGGACUAAUAGACUAAAGCGUUCCAGUUCCAAUUUGAAUGUGCUCUCUCAGUAAUCUAAUGCAGUAACAACAUACAGUAAGAUAAGGGCCAAUAUCCUGUGGAGGAUUCAAAGUAAUCACAACCCAGGAGGAGACUGCAGACCAGGGAGCGUGUGUAAAAGGAAACCAUUCACAGAGGUCUUCGCAGUAGAGCUGCCUGCCUGCAAUUCAGUCUCGAUGUUAGUUUGGCCAAUUGGAAGGCUUCUCAUUCUCAACCGUGGUUUUAGCCUCUUUUACCUACUUUCAAGACUGAUGAGAGACGGGGAUUCUGCCCCAGGCCCAGAGAAAGUUAAUGACAUUUCUGGAUGGAUGGGAAAAAAGAGAAGCACAGCAGAGAAAAGCGCUAGAAUAGGUGAUCUCGGAGCCAGCCAGAAAUAUGUCAGGACCUGAUAGAAAAUGUGGUUUCACUUUUGAGGCUUUGAAAUACAAUAACAUCAUGAACAUGCUGCAACAAGCCCACCAUGCUGGAGUCAGGAAGUGGAACAGAAGGUAUUCAGACGUGGAGACAUACACAGGUAUGUCAAUUGGUAUCGGUAUGUUACGCAGAUCACAUGUACCAUCCUCCCAUCACAUGUAAACAUUCACCACAAAAACCAAGGAAACCUGUUCGCUCACCAUACACUGCAAAAUCAUUCUGGCUAUGGAUACGGAGAACAUCAAGACAUUAACAUCAACACGCCAGAGGAUAUAUCCAUUGGACCUGGGGCUCUGCUGGGAGUUUACCUCAUUUAGACUUUUUGAUUCUGCUUUGCCACUAAAAUCAUAAUAAACACUGAACUAAAAUAUUGUGUUAUUGUUAUGAUUAUUAUUAAUAAUAGGGGAGGGGGGUAGUUCAAAAAUGAACACCAAAAGGUUCUUCAAGGAUCUAUUAAAUGGUUAUUCGAAGAACUUAUAGGGGUUCCCCCACAAAUUCAAUUUGAAGAACCCUUAAAUGAUACCCCAGGGACCUUUUCUUUUUAGAGUGUACAGUGAAGCAUGGUGGUGGCCGCAUCAUGCUGUGGGGAUGCUUUUCAGCGACAGGGACUGGGAGACUAGUCAGGA